AGGCCAUGUCAUCGUAUUGGGCUCAUCAAAAGGGACGCGCGGGCGUGCGAGAAUCAGGAUUGGGGGAGGAACGUCAACGCUAAAAUAUACGCGGUGGCAGGCUGUUUUUUACGUCGCUAAAAAAUUAGGAAAGGUUUGGGUGGACUGUUGGAGUUCGUUUUUUAUUUUUUUCUUCCUUAAAGGAUAUUGGGGGUAAGAUUAGUAGCCUUUUGGAGUUGCUCUAAAAAAGCUGAAAGAUAAGCAACCACCACCGUGCAAGGUAAGUAUAUUAUUCCAUGUCUUAUUUUACCAAUAAUAAUAAUAUUUUUGACAUUAUAUAUCCAAACCGAUUGAACCAGACGAUGAUGGUGAUGAUCGGCUUUUCCGGAAUGAUAC
rnacentral:lncRNA from 1 species